rnacentral:rRNA from 1 species
UACGAGGGGGGCAAGCGUUGUUCGGAAUUAUUGGGCGUAAAGGGCGCGUAGGCGGUGCGGUAAGUCACCUGUGAAACCUCUGGGCUUAACUCAGAGCCUGCAGGCGAAACUGCCGUGCUGGAGUAUGGGAGAGGUGUGUGGAAUUCCUGGUGGAGCGGUGAAAUGCGCAGAUAUCAGGAGGAACACCCGUAGCGAAGGCGGCACUCUGGGCCGAUACUGACACUGAGGAGCGAAAGCGUGGGGAGCGAACAGG